AAAUUGCCUCAGCAAAAGGCUGCUGUAGUCGGUCUUCGUAGCUCCUUCUCCAGGGUAUCCUAGCGGCGCGCAGUGCAGGAGCCUCGCACCGCUCCCCGACGGCGGCUGCCAGCUUCCAGACAGACGCCGACCCGGUGUUCGCAACCAGGGCGCAGGCCGGGCCCGGAGCGUUUGGAGCGCCCGCCCCUCGCCCAAAAUGGAGUUAAUCCUGACUGGGAGAAGAAAGUAAUUGAAUAUUUUAAGGAAAAGCUGAAGGAAAAUAAUGCUCCUAAGUGGGUACCAUCACUGAACGAAGUUCCCCUUCAUUAUUUGAAACCUAAUAGUUUUGUGAAAUUUCGUUGCAUGAUUCAGGAUAUGUUUGACCCUGAGUUUUACAUGGGAGUUUAUGAAACGGUUAACCAAAACACAAAAGCACAUGUUCUUCAUUUUGGAAAAUAUAGAGAUGUAGCAGAGUGUGGGCCUCAACAAGAACUUGAUUUAAACUCUCCACGAAAUACCACUUUGGAAAGACAGACUUUCUAUUGUGUUCCGGUGCCUGGGGAAUCUACGUGGCUCGAGUCAGUCCCUCAACAUCCUACACUCCUAGUCGCCACAAGAGGAGUUAUGAAGAUGAUGAUGAUAUGGACCUACAGCCCAAUAAGCAGAAAGACCAACAUGCAGGUGCCAGACAAGCAGGGAGUGUUGGUGGUCUUCAAUGGUGUGGAGAGCCAAAACGUUUAGAAACUGAAGCUUCUACUGGGCAACAGCUGAACUCUCUGAACUUGUCUUCUCCUUUUGAUUUGAAUUUUCCAUUGCCAGGAGAGAAGGGCCCUGCAUGCCUUGUGAAGGUUUAUGAAGAUUGGGAUUGUUUCAAAGUAAAUGACAUUCUUGAGCUAUAUGGCAUACUGUCUGUGGAUCCUGUGCUGAGUAUACUGAAUAAUGAUGAAAGGGAUGCCUCUGCACUGCUGGAUCCGAUGGAGUGCACAGACACAGCAGAGGAGCAGAGAGUACACAGUCCUCCUGCUUCAUUAGUGCCAAGAAUUCAUGUGAUCUUAGCCCAGAAGUUGCAACACAUCAACCCAUUAUUGCCUGCCUGCCUUAACAAAGAGGAGAGCAAAACCUUUGUUUCAAGUUUCAUGUCCGAAUUGUCUCCAGUCAGAGCAGAACUUCUUGGGUUCCUUACUCAUGCCCUUCUGGGGGAUAGUUUGGCUGCUGAAUACCUUAUAUUACAUCUCAUCUCCACAGUAUAUACAAGAAGAGAUGUCCUUCCACUAGGAAAAUUUACAGUUAACUUGAGUGGUUGCCCACGGAAUAGUACCUUCACGGAACACUUGUAUCGAAUUAUUCAACAUCUUGUUCCAGCAUCUUUUCGUCUACAGAUGACUAUAGAGAACAUGAACCAUUUGAAAUUCAUUCCCCACAAAGACUACACAGCCAAUCGCUUGGUCAGUGGGCUCCUCCAGCUGCCCAGCAAUACUUCCCUUGUAAUCGAUGAGACUCUCCUGGAACAGGGGCAGCUGGAUACCCCAGGUGUUCAUAAUGUGACAGCCCUGAGCAACCUCAUAACGUGGCAGAAGGUGGAUUAUGACUUCAGCUACCAUCAGAUGGAAUUCCCCUGCAAUAUUAACGUUUUCAUUACUUCGGAGGGGAGGUCACUCCUCCCGGCAGACUGCCAGAUUCACUUACAGCCCCAGCUAAUUCCACCAAACAUGGAGGAGUACAUGAACAGCCUUCUCUCAGCGGUGCUGCCUUCCGUGCUGAACAAAUUCCGCAUUUAUCUAACCCUUUUGAGAUUCUUGGAAUAUAGCAUAUCUGAUGAAAUAACCAAGGCAGUUGAAGAUGACUUUGUGGAAAUGCGGAAGAACGACCCUCAGAGCAUCACUGCUGAUGAUCUUCACCAGCUGCUCGUGGUGGCUCGGUGUCUGUCUCUCAGUGCUGGUCAGACAACACUGUCAAGAGAACGAUGGCUGAGAGCAAAGCAGCUAGAGUCUUUAAGAAGAACGAGGCUUCAGCAGCAAAAAUGUGUGAAUGGAAAUGAACUUUAAAGAUGUAAUACCUAUGAAGAGUAAUGGGCAAAUUGUAGCCACAUAAUUGUAAAAUUCAGAUAUUCAUUUAUACCACAUUGUUUUAUAGGUAAUUUCUAUCACAAACCAGUGACAUUUCCUGAAAUCAAGCCUGGUAACACCUGAUGUUUAUAUGAUAUUCAGUAAGGACUUUUACCUUACUGAUUUCAUGGAGCUUUUGAAGUUUGUUUUAUAAUUAUAUAAAUUAGUAAUGAUGUAAAAAAAAGUAUUUGAUAUUAAAAGUUUAAUAUUG
rnacentral:sRNA from 1 species